rnacentral:tRNA from 1 species
GCCGUUGUGGCUCAGCUUGGAAGAGCAACUGAUUCGUAAUCAGUGGGUCGCGGGUUCAAGUCCCGCCAACGGCUCCA